rnacentral:rRNA from 1 species
GAUGCACGCUGGCGGCGUGCUUAACACAUGCAAGUCGAGCGGUAAGGCCCCUUCGGGGGUACACGAGCGGCGAACGGGUGAGUAACACGUGAGCAAUCUGCCCAUCACCUCGGGAUAACUCCGGGAAACCGAAGCUAAUACCGAAUACAACCACUUCAGACAUCUGACGGUGGUGGAAAGUUCCGGCGGUGAUGGAUGAGCUCGCGGCCUAUCAGCGUGUUGGUGGCGUAACGGCCUACCAAGGCCUCGACGGGUAGCCGGCCUGAGAGGGUGACCGGCCACACUGGGACUGAGACACGGCCCAGACUCCUACGGGAGGCAGCAGUGGGGAAUAUUGGACAAUGGGCGAAAGCCUGAUCCAGCAACGCCGCGUGAGGGAUGACGGCCUUCGGGUUGUAAACCUCUUUCAGCAGGGACGAAGCGAAAGUGACGGUACCUGCAGAAGAAGCACCGGCCAACUACGUGCCAGCAGCCGCCGCAGUAA